GAGUAAGACUCGCAGAAGUAGAGUGGCAACGGUGGAGUCCGGUGGGUUUGAAGUUGAACGCGAAGGGAAAGAGAAGUGUUGUCUUGGUCCCGCGAUCGCAAUCGGGGCUCGAUAUCGCAACGCGGCGUAUUUGAGGGAGUGACCGACCGGUUGUCCGAAGGAAGCGUCGCGUGAACCGGCGGGUAAAAAUCGUUCGUAUUUUAAACGGGGGAAAAACGGUGUUCGUGCGGCUACUGGCGCAUUGUCGCGCUAAACAAAAAUGGCGGACGGCGACUCGAGGGUGGACCGGUCUGAUCCCGAGCUGAAAUACCUCUCCGUUGAUAGGAACAGCUUCAACGAUCCGGCCACGCAGGCGGAAUGGACGCAGAAGAAACUUGUCUGGGUGCCGCACGAGUCCCAGGGAUUCGUUGCCGCCGGUAUAAAGGGCGAACGCGGCGACGAAGUCGAGGUCGAGGUCGCCGAGACCGGGAAACGCGUACUAGUCGCCAAAGAUGACAUACAGAAGAUGAAUCCGCCGAAAUUUGACAAGGUCGAGGACAUGGCCGAGUUGACCUGUCUCAACGAGGCGUCCGUGCUCCAUAACCUCAAAGAUCGCUACUACUCGGGACUGAUUUACACCUACUCCGGCCUCUUCUGCGUCGUCGUGAAUCCCUACAAGAGACUGCCGAUUUAUACAGAAAAAAUAAUGGAGAGGUAUAAGGGUAUAAAACGUCACGAAGUACCGCCGCACGUUUUCGCCAUAACCGAUACGGCCUAUCGUUCGAUGCUUCAAGAUCGGGAGGAUCAGGCGAUUUUAUGCACGGGUGAAUCCGGUGCCGGUAAAACAGAGAACACGAAAAAGGUGAUCCAGUAUUUGGCAUACGUGGCUGCCUCCAAACCAAAAUCAAACGCGACUCCAAGUCCGGCGUUGAUCAUUUCACCUACAGGGACGCUUACGGAAAAAUUUUCGGGUGAACUGGAACAACAAUUACUGCAAGCCAAUCCCAUCUUGGAGGCCUUUGGAAAUGCGAAAACUGUCAAGAAUGACAAUUCAUCACGUUUUGGAAAAUUCAUCAGGAUCAACUUUGAUGCAUCUGGUUACAUUGCCGGAGCCAACAUCGAAACUUACCUGCUUGAAAAAUCCAGGGCUAUCCGUCAGGCCAAGGACGAGAGAACCUUCCACAUAUUUUAUCAACUUCUAGCCGGCGCCUCACCUGAACAGAAAAAGGAAUUCAUUCUGGAAGAUCCCAAAAACUAUCUCUUCCUGUCCAACGGAUCGCUGCCAGUGCCUGGCUUUGACGAUUCUGCCGAGUUUCAGUCGACGGUAAAAUCAAUGAACAUAAUGGGCAUGACGAGCGAAGAUUUUUCAUCGAUAUUCAGAAUUGUGUCGGCUGUGAUGUUGUUCGGGUCGAUGCAGUUUCGACAGGAGAGAAAUUCCGACCAAGCGACACUCCCCGACAAUACCGUCGCCCAGAAAGUUUCUCACUUGUUGGGUCUGAGCGUGACAGAAAUGACGAAGGCAUUCCUCAAACCGAGAAUCAAAGUUGGCAGAGACUUUGUGACCAAAGCGCAGACAAAAGAACAGGUCGAAUUUGCGGUCGAGGCCAUUUCCAAAGCCUGCUACGAGAGAAUGUUCAGAUGGCUUGUCAACAGGAUAAACAGAUCCUUGGACAGAACGAAGCGACAGGGAGCAAGCUUCAUCGGCAUACUGGAUAUGGCUGGUUUUGAAAUAUUCGAAUUGAAUUCCUUCGAACAGUUGUGCAUCAACUACACCAACGAGAAACUGCAGCAACUGUUCAACCACACCAUGUUCAUCCUCGAGCAGGAAGAGUAUCAGCGAGAAGGUAUCGAGUGGAAGUUCAUCGAUUUUGGCCUCGAUCUCCAGCCGACAAUCGACCUUAUCGACAAACCUAUGGGCAUAAUGGCUCUGCUCGACGAAGAAUGCUGGUUCCCGAAAGCAACGGACAAAACGUUCGUUGAAAAAUUGGUCGGAGCUCACAGCGUUCAUCCGAAAUUCAUGAAGACCGAUUUCCGCGGUGUCGCAGAUUUCGCGAUAAUUCAUUACGCUGGUAAGGUCGAUUAUUCGGCCGCCAAAUGGCUCAUGAAGAAUAUGGAUCCUCUGAACGAAAACGUCGUCAGUCUUUUGCAGCAGUCUCAGGAUCAGUUUGUGUGCCACAUUUGGAAGGAUGCAGAAAUCGUUGGAAUGGCGCAGCAAGCCCUCACCGAUACGCAGUUCGGGGCGAGAACUCGGAAAGGAAUGUUCAGGACCGUUUCUCAGCUGUACAAAGAACAGUUGGCCAAGCUUAUGGUCACUCUGCGUAACACGAAUCCGAACUUCGUCAGAUGCAUUAUACCGAAUCACGAGAAACGGGCUGGAAAAAUUGACGCUCCUCUCGUACUUGAUCAGCUGAGAUGCAACGGUGUUCUCGAAGGAAUUCGUAUAUGCCGUCAAGGCUUCCCCAACAGAAUACCCUUCCAGGAGUUCAGGCAACGCUACGAACUCCUCACUCCCAAUGUUAUUCCGAAAGGAUUUAUGGAUGGCAAAAAGGCUUGUGAAAAAAUGAUUCAAGCCUUGGAAUUGGAUCCGAAUCUUUACCGCGUUGGUCAGUCGAAGAUAUUUUUCCGAGCAGGAGUGCUGGCGCAGCUUGAGGAGGAAAGAGAUUACAAAAUCACUGAUCUGAUUGUGAAUUUCCAGGCGUUCUGUCGCGGUUUCUUGGCCCGCAGGAAUUAUCAAAAACGUUUACAACAGUUGAACGCUAUACGUAUUAUACAGAGGAACUGUGCAGCGUACUUGAAACUUCGCAACUGGCAAUGGUGGAGGUUGUACACGAAGGUUAAGCCACUUCUUGAAGUUACCAAGCAAGAGGAGAAGCUCACGCAGAAGGAAGAUGAGCUGAAACAAGUCCGGGAUAAGCUUGAGAUGCAGCUUCAUUCGGCUCAAGAGUACGAGCGAAAGUAUCAGAUGGCUAUUGAGGAAAAAACGGUUCUAGCCGAACAGUUGCAGGCUGAAGUCGAGCUCUGUGCCGAAGCUGAGGAAAUGAGGGCGAGACUUGCUGCGAGAAAACAGGAGCUGGAAGAAAUAUUACACGACUUGGAGGCUCGGAUAGAAGAAGAAGAGGAACGAAGCACCGGCCUAACGCAAGAAAAGAAAAAGUUGCAGUUAAACAUAAGUGAUCUUGAAGAACAAUUAGAGGAGGAAGAGGCUGCUAGGCAAAAGUUACAGCUUGAAAAGGUUCAGUGUGAUGCUAAAAUAAAGAAGCUCGAAGAAGAUCUUGCGCUGUCGGACGAUACUAAUCAAAAAUUGCUCAAAGAAAAGAAGAUUCUUGAGGAGAGAUCAAACGAUUUGUCGCAAACUCUUGCCGAGGAAGAGGAGAAGGCUAAGCAUCUUUCGAAAUUGAAAGCAAAACACGAGGCGACAAUCGCCGAUCUUGAGGAAAGAUUGCUCAAGGAUCAUCAGCAGCGACAAGAGGUGGACAGGUCUAAGCGUAAGGUAGAAACCGAAGUUUCGGACUUGAAAGAACAGCUCACUGAGCGUAGGACGCAGUUUGAGGAGCUUCAAUUACAGCUGGGUAAACGCGAGGAAGAGUUAGCUCAGGCUAUGAUGAAAAUCGACGAGGAAGGAGCUGCCAAAGCACAGGCUCAGAAAGCUCUCAGGGAACUGGAAUCGCAACUCGCAGAAUUACAGGAAGACUUGGAGGCUGAAAAAAUAGCCAGAAGUAAGGCGGAGAAAUUGAAACGAGACCUUAACGAGGAAUUGGAGGCCUUGAAAAACGAGUUACUCGACUCUUUGGACGUUACAGCGGCACAACAGGAACUUAGAGGUAAAAGGGAACAAGAAUUAGCGACGUUAAAGAAAAAUCUUGAAGAAGAGACAUCCAUGCAUGAAGGUACUUUGGCCGAUAUGCGCCAUAAACAUUCUCACGAAUUGACGGUAAUUAACGAGCAGAUGGAUGCGCUGAAGAAGGCUAAAGUCGCUUUAGAAAAGGCAAAGUCGACCCUGGAAGCUGAGAAUGCCGAUCUAACCACCGAACUAAGGUCCGUUGGUGCGAGUAGACAGGAAUCUGACCGAAGGCGCAAACAAGCCGAACAACAGUUAGCCGAAUUAAAUGCUAAAGUUGCGGAAGUUGAGAGGGCCAAACAGGAACUGGCUGAAAGAGCUGCAAAAUUGCAGCAGGAAGCGGAGAGUGUUUCUCAACAGCUGGAAGCUGCCGAAUUGAAGGCGUCCGCUGCACUGAAAGCGGCCACUACUUGCGAGUCGCAAUUUGCCGAGAUUCAACAGCAACUAGAAGAGGAGACAAGGCAAAAACUUGCCCUCAGUUCCAAGCUGAGAGCACUUGAAGGUGAAAAGGAGAGUCUUCAAGAGCAGUUGGACGAGGAGGAGGAAGCCAAACGAUCUUUGGACAAGCAAGUACAAAGUCUGACCAUGUUGUUAGCCGAGGCAAAGAAACGUGGCGACGAGGAGGCCGAGGCUGCGGUGGCUUUGGAAGAGGCGAGAAAACGCUGUUUGAAAGACAUCGAAGCCCUUCAAAGGCAAGUUGAGGAACUACAAGCGGCAAACGACAAAUUGGACAAGUCUAAGAAGAAGAUUCAAGCUGAAUUGGAAGACAGUAAUAUCGAGCUGGAAGUACAGCGGGCGAAGGUGAUGGAGCUGGAAAAGAAACAGAAGAACUUUGACAAGGUACUUGCGGAAGAAAAGGCGAUAUCUGAACAGUAUGCUGAACAACGUGACGCCGCUGAACGGGAAGCGCGAGAAAAGGAAACCAGGGUACUUUCGUUGACUCGUCAAUUGGACGAGAUGAAUGAUAAGGUUGAAGAGCUUGAGCGGGGCAGACGGGGACUUCAGGCUGAGCUCGACGAACUGGUGAACAACCAGGGUACCGCCGACAAGAACGUACACGAGCUCGAGAAAGCUAAACGCGCACUCGAAUCCCAGUUGGCUGAGCAAAGAUCUCAAGUUGAGGAGAUGGAGGAUGAGCUUCAGUUUACCGAAGACGCAAAGUUGCGACUAGAGGUAAACAUGCAGGCACUCAGGGCGCAAUUUGAACGUGAUCUCCAAGCCAAAGAGGAACAGGCUGAAGAAAAACGUAGAGGUUUGGUCAAGCAGUUGCGGGAUCUCGAAGCCGAACUUGAGGAUGAGAGGAAGCAGCGUGCUGCAGCCAUUGUACAGCGUAAAAAGAUGGAAGCUGAUUAUAAGGACAUUGAACAACAGUUGGAAAUGCAUAACAAGGUCAAGGAAGAUGCUCUUAAACAACUUAAGAAACUUCAGGCACAGGUCAAAGACUGUGCAAGAGAAACCGAGGAAGCCAGAGCUGCGCGAGAUGACUUGGCCGCUAGCGCCAAGGAAACCGAGAGAAAAGUCAAGAGUUUAGAAGCCGAACUUAUGCAACUCACGGAAGAUUUGGCAAGCAGCGAAAGAAAUCGGCGUACUGCUGAGAGCGAGAGGGAUGAAUUUCAAGAGGAAAUCAACAACAAUGCCAAUAAGGGUACCUUGCUACUAGACGAAAAACGUAGAUUGGAAGCGAGAAUUGCGACCUUAGAAGAAGAGCUGGAGGAGGAGCAAUCUAACAGUGAGAUUUUGAUGGACCGAGCCAGGAAAGGACAGAUCAAUAUUGAACAGCUUACGACAGAUUUGGCGACGGAACGUUCGACGACCCAAAAACUUGAAACUCACAGAAUGUUACUGGAGAGGCAGAACAAAGAAUUGAAGGCGAAAUUGGCCGAGCUGGAAACUGCACAACGUACAAAAACCAAAGCAACGAUUCAAGCUUUGGAGUCGAAGAUAAAUAAUCUUGAUGAACAGCUCGAAGCUGAAGGCAAAGAACGGUUUGCACAGCAGAAAAUCAACAGAAAGUUAGACAAGAAGUACAAGGAGGUGGUUAUACAGCUCGAGGAUGAGCGAAGAAACGCUGAUCAAUAUAAGGAACAGGUUGAAAAGGUCAAUGUAAGAAUGAAGGCUUUGAAGAGACAGCUAGAUGAAGCUGAGGAAGAAGUAACUAGAGAAAAAACUCAGAAACGAAAGGCACAACGGGACUUGGAGGACAUGAUGGAGUCUCACGAAUCGCUGACUCGUGAGGUUGCCAACUUGAGGAAUAAAUGGAGUUCCUACUGAUCUUGGAAAACAGGCAAAAGAGCAGUCGCUGCUUCAAUAAUACAAUUGAAACCCAAGACGAACGCCAGGAAUUGGUCUCAGCUCUACUACUCGUCUCACAAAACGAGGUUCCUCGCAGACCGGUGGCUCCGGUGACGAUUCAACAACCCAGGACGAAAGUAUGGAUGGCGAAGAAGCUGCGAAUUAAAGUGGCCAUGGAUCUUCCUUUUUAACAA
rnacentral:misc_RNA from 1 species